rnacentral:rRNA from 1 species
CUACGGGCUGCUGCAGUCGAGAAUCUUCCGCAAUGGGCGCAAGCCUGACGGAGCAAUGCCGCGUGAGGGAUGACGGCCCUAGGGUUGUAAACCUCUGUCAGAAGGGACGAAGAACGUGACGGUACCUUCAGAGGAAGCCAUGGCUAACUACGUGCCAGCAGCCGCGGUAAUACGUAGAUGGCGAGCGUUAUUCGGAUUUACUGGGCGUAAAGGGUCCGUAGGGGGUCUGCCAAGUCUGAUGUGAAAUCCUGCGGCUCAACCGCGGAACUGCCUUGGAAACUGGCGGACUAGCGUGUGCGAGGGGUGAGCGGAAUUCCUGGUGUAGCGGUGGAAUGCGUAGAUAUCAGGAAGAACACCGAUGGCGAAGGCGGCUCACUGGCGCAUCACUGACCCUGAGGGACGAAAGCGUGGGUAGCAAACAGGAUUAGAUACCCUGGUAGUC